GUGAGUUCUCGGGGCGGGGUGAAAGUCCCCACCGGCGGUAAUGCUUUCGCAAGAAGGACGAGCCCGCGAGCGCCCGCGCAGCAGUGCGGGGACGAGCAGACUUCGGUGCGAUCCCGGGGCCGACGGUCACAGUCCGGAUACGAGAGGACGACA
rnacentral:ncRNA from 2 species